rnacentral:lncRNA from 1 species
GUCAGUCCCACUCAGUCAGUCUUUCUGAAUGCAGGCAUCUCCAGUUCAGUGUGGCUUGUGCAGUGCUGCUUUGAUUGAUACACGACAGCCUCCUCACAGAUGUCUCUCUCCCCUUUCUCCACCUUGCCCGCCUCUUCUUCAGGUGCAUACGUUCCGAGGGCCACACUGGUGUGAAUACUGUGCCAACUUCAUGUGGGGCCUCAUUGCUCAGGGAGUGAAAUGUGCAGGUAAGAGCCACCUCUCCCCAUUCUGUCAACAGCCACACUCAAGACUGGGUGGUCACUUCCCUUGGCCUUCUCACUGGGUGGGCAGAGCAGCAGGGGUCCCCAGAAAGGAAGAGGCCAGCUUGCUUCUGAAGCUCAAAGGAGAUGAAAGCAGGCGGUUGUAGUCAGCAUUUGGCCUUGGUGUUGCUGUAACUACAUCUAUACAAUUUUUUAAGCAGUGUGCAAGGACAUACGUUGCCUUGGAAACUGGAAUUUAAAGCUGACUUGUUAGGUGAAAUUGUCCUUACUAAGUUUUUUUUUUUUUUUAAUCAAAAUCAAAGCUGU